rnacentral:rRNA from 1 species
GACGAACGCUGGCGGCGUGCUUAACACAUGCAAGUCGAACGGAAAGGCCCUGCUUUUGUGGGGUGCUCGUGUGGCGAACGGGUGAGUAACACGUGAGUAACCUGCCCUUGACUUUGGGAUAACUUCAGGAAACUGGGGCUAAUACCGGAUAGGAGCUCCUGCUGCAUGGUGGGGGUUGGAAAGUUUCGGCGGUUGGGGAUGGACUCGCGGCUUAUCAGCUUGUUGGUGGGGUAGUGGCUUACCAAGGCUUUGACGGGUAGCCGGCCUGAGAGGGUGACCGGCCACAGUGGGACUGAGAUACGGCCCAGACUCCUACGGGAGGCAGCAGUGGGGAAUAUUGCACAAUGGGCGGAAGCCUGAUGCAGCAACGCCGCGUGCGGGAUGACGGCCUUCGGGUUGUAAACCGCUUUCGCCUGUGACGAAGCGUGAGUGACGGUAAUGGGUAAAGAAGCACCGGCUAACUACGUG